GACGAACGCUGGCGGCGUGCCUAAUACAUGCAAGUCGAGCGAAGUUUUUCUGGUGCUUGCACCGGAAAAACUUAGCGGCGAACGGGUGAGUAACACGUAAAGAACCUGCCUCAUAGACUGGGACAACUAUUGGAAACGAUAGCUAAUACCGGAUAACAGCAUUAACUGCAUGGUUGAUGUUUAAAAGUUGGUUUUGCUAGCACUAUGAGAUGGCUUUGCGGCGCAUUAGCUAGUUGGUGGGGUAAAGGCCUACCAAGGCGACGAUGCAUAGCCGACCUGAGAGGGUGAUCGGCCACACUGGGACUGAGACACGGCCCAGACUCCUACGGGAGGCAGCAGUAGGGAAUCUUCCGCAAUGGGCGAAAGCCUGACGGAGCAACGCCGCGUGAGUGAAGAAGGAUUUCGGUUCGUAAAGCUCUGUUGUUAGGGAAGAAUGAUUGUGUAGUAACUAUACACAGUAGAGACGGUACCUAACCAGAAAGCC
rnacentral:rRNA from 1 species